UCCCUGUUGGAUCAAAGGGUAAAGCAUUUGCCUGCAAUGCAAGAGACCCGGGUUUGAUCCCUGGGUCGGGAA
rnacentral:tRNA from 1 species